rnacentral:rRNA from 1 species
UAGUUAAAUAUUAAAGGUAAUUUCUGCCCUAUGAUUAAUUAAAUGGCUGCAGUAUUCUGACUGUGCAAAGGUAGCAUAAUAAUUAGUCUUUUAAUUGAAGGCUGGUAUGAAUGAAUAUAUGAAGAAUAAAUUUUAUUUUAAACAAUAUUAUAAAUUGAUUUUUAAGUAAAAAAGCUUAAUUUUUUUUUUGGGACGAUAAGACCCUAUAGAACUUUAUUAUUAUUAAUUUUUAAUUAAUUCUUAGAUUUAUUAAAUUUUUAAUUUUUAUAAUAAUUUUAUUGGGGUGAUAAAUAAAUUUUACUUUAUUUUUAAAAUUCAUUUAUUUAUGUAAUUUUUGAUCCAAUUAUUGAUUAAAAGAUUAAGUUACCUUAGGGAUAACAGCGUAAUUUUAAUGGGGAGUUCAUAUUUAUAUUAAAGUUUGCGACCUCGAUGUUGAAUUAAGAUAAGAUUGAGGGGUAG